rnacentral:rRNA from 1 species
CCUACGGGAGGCAGCAGUAGGGAAUCUUCGGCAAUGGACGAAAGUCUGACCGAGCAACGCCGCGUGAGUGAAGAAGGUUUUCGGAUCGUAAAACUCUGUUGCUAGAGAAGAAUGUUGAUUAGAGUGGAAAAUUAAUCAAGUGACGGUAUCUAACCAGAAAGGGACGGCUAACUACGUGCCAGCAGCCGCGGUAAU